GUCUUACUGAAUAUAUAUUAGGUCUGACCUGCCCAAUGAUUUAUAUUUAAUGGCCGCGGUAUAUUGACCGUGCAAAKGUAGCAUAAUCAUUAGUCUUUUAAUUGUAGGCUGGAAUGAACGGUUGGACGAGGAGAAAUCUGUCUCUUGUUUAUUAGUUGAAUUUAACGUUUAGGUGAAAAGGCUUAAAUGACUUUGUAGGACGAUAAGACCCUAUAGAUCUUAACAUUUUGUUAAGUUGUUAUAAUUUGUUAAGUUGAAUUACUUAUUUUUAAUGUUUCGUUGGGGCGACGGUGAGAAAUAAAGAUCUCUCAUUUGUUAAUUACAUUUAUAUAUGGUUGUUUGAUCCGUUAUUUGCGAUUAUAAGACUAAGUUACCUUAGGGAUAACAGCGUAAUCUUUUUAGAGAGUUCUUAUUGAUAAUAAGGGUUGCGACCUCGAUGUUGGAUUAAGAGAUAAGGUUUGGUGCAAAAGCUGAAAUGAUUAGGUCUGUUCGACCUUUAAUUUCUUACA
rnacentral:rRNA from 1 species